CCAAAUGUGAGUUCCCUCUCAGUAUUACCCAUUGGCAUAAGCUGUCAAAAUGGGGUCACAGCCUGGGCUGUUCAUAUUCUACUGCUCAGGUAGGUACAGCGUUACAACAGAUCCACUUCUGAUGUUACACACUGCCCACAAAGCUCUGUACACCAUUUAUCCUCAUAGCUGUCAAUGAGCAAUGCUGACCAACUGGCACAACCCACCUAAAACUCUCCUUGGAUUCAUGAGCAGCGUCGAUCACUGUGCUUCAUACAUUGUGUCCAUGAUGCUCUUGUUUUACGAAAGUAAUCCAGGCAAUCCCAGGCCUUCUGGAAUUUACUCUUAUAUCACUUUUCCCUCCCGCUUGCAUGUCCUCUCCCUAGCUCCUUAUAGCAAGCUAUUUGAUAGGCACUAUUAUUUCUGUCUUCAAAAGAAACACAGGAUGUUCCAGAAGAAUUCAAGAGUUGACCGGGUGACACAGUAGGAGAAGAGGCAGUUCCAUGUGCAGGCCAGGCCAAGGAUGUCAGAAACCAGCUGGAAGGAAAGGUCAGAGAGAAGAGUCCUCAGGAGCUGACUGGGCUCUCGUUCCUCCCCUGUGGCAGCAAUGGGCCAUUUCCAUCAGAGGCGGUGCCAUGCUGACCCAAAUGCCUGAGUGCUACUCACCUCCAGAGAGUGAGGAGUCUGAAAAGUUCUCUUAUUGUUUGUUUGCUUGCUUGCUUGCUUGCUUGCUUGAGCCCCAGAGAUUCAGCCCAGGACCCAGGACCUCUUCAAUACUCGGCAGGCAGUGUGCAGCUGAGCUACUCCCGUGGCCAGGAACAAGUUUGGUUAUGUAUAUGGGUUUUUUGUUUUCUGUUGCAGGGCUGGGAUCAAAACCAGGGACAUUUGCAUGCUAGUCACAUGCUUUGCCCACUACACUAUAUCUCCAUUUCUAUUGUGUUGAUACUCUUGAAACAUCUAAGCCACUCCCACAGCUGACUCUGAUACAAAUUGACUGGGUUCUUUCCUUCUCCUUAGAUUCAGAUAAGCAUCUGGGUUUACCUGAACAUCAGGGUAUUGUCAUCUGCCCUGAUAAGAGAUGGCCCUGUGAUAUUCUCCUAAAAUGGUUUCUGUCAAACAUCCCCUUUAUAAAUUACCUUUUUUAUUUCUUGCAAUUAGUAAAUUUGGCAA
rnacentral:lncRNA from 1 species